rnacentral:rRNA from 1 species
CCCGCUGAACUUAAGCAUAUCACUAAGCGGAGGAAAAGAAAUUAACUAAGAUUGCCUCAGUAACGGCGAGUGAAGCGGCAAGAGCCCAAACUGGAAAUCUUCGUGCUGAGCACGACGAAUUGUAAUCUAAAGGUGUUUCACUUAACGGGCGGUGGCGCAGAAGUUCCCUCGAACGGGACGCCAGAGAGGGUGACAGCCCCGUAUGUGGUGCCACUGCUUACCGAGUGUGAUUCCAAAGAGUCGGGUUGUUUUGUAUUGCAGCCCUAAGUGGGGGAUAAACUUCCUCUAAGGCUAAAUAUCUAUGGGAAACCGAUAGCGAACAAGUACUGUGAAGGAAAGAUGAAAAGAACUUUGAAAAGAGAGUCAAAAGACUUGAAAUCGUUGAGAAGGAAGCGGUAGAAAUUUAUUCUUCGGCGGAGAACGAAGGUCGUCGUCCAACCAUUGAGGGCUUCCAGCACUUUAUAGGCUGUGGUUUUCACUUGGGGAAGCGGCUGCUGGGUUGUCCGUUGUGAGGCAAGAUGAGUUCCCGCUCCCGCAAAAGCUCCCGUGACCUGGCAAGGUUCGCUUUGCAGUCUAGGGUAGCUAGUGGGCGCGAGGACUGAGGAUGCCUUGUGCGAUCUUGCCAAAAUGGUUUUUACCGACCCGUCUUGAAACACGG